rnacentral:rRNA from 1 species
CAGUCGCCGCGGGAAUACGUAGGGUGCAAGCGUUAAUCGGAAUUACUGGGCGUAAAGCGUGCGCAGGCGGUUAUAUAAGACAGAUGUGAAAUCCCCGGGCUCAACCUGGGAACUGCAUUUGUGACUGUAUAGCUAGAGUACGGCAGAGGGGGAUGGAAUUCCGCGUGUAGCAGUGAAAUGCGUAGAUAUGCGGAGGAACACCGAUGGCGAAGGCAAUCCCCUGGGCCUGUACUGACGCUCAUGCACGAAAGCGUGGGGAGCAAACAGGAUUAGAUACCCCCGUAGUCCCUGUCUCUUAUCC